UUGUUCUCACUUUGGCAACACAUAUACUAAAAUUGGAAUGAUACAGAGAAGAUUAGCAUGACCCCUGCACAAGGAUGAUAUGCACAUUUGUGAAGAGUUCCAUAUUGAA
ensembl:snRNA U6 U6 spliceosomal RNA